UCCCAUCAUUGACAUAUAAAAUUCACCAUGCAUAGCUGACACAAAAUCCUCACAAGGGAUAUUAGUUACUCCAAAACUUAUGUUAUCAACAUACACUUGAACUGCUAUGAUAUAAAAUUUACUUUCUUAAUAAAAAGAGUCUUAUAAAUUUUUCCCCUCUCAGAGUUUUGAGUAAGAGAAAGUUGCUAAGCCUUUUAUACCAUUGCCCUAGAGCUUGUUUUAGACGGUAGAGUACCUUCUUUAAGCCUAUAAACAUAUUUUGGAUGUUUAUGGUCUUCAAAUCCUUAUGGUUGUGAGACAUACACUUCCUCGUUGAUAAACCAUUAACGUAAGCACUCUUGACAUCCAUCUGAAACAGUUUUAAGCCACUCAUAUUAGCAAAUGCAGGUAAGUAGUCUAACAACUUCUAAUCUAGCUACAAGUGCAUAUGUUUCAUCAUAGUCAUUAUAUUCUUCUUGGUUAUAACCAUUUUCAACUAGCCUAGCUUAAUUUCUAGUGAUUGUUCCUUAUUCAUCCAUUUUAUUCCUAAAUACCCACUUUGUUCCAAUUAUAUUCAUCUCAACAUUUUUAGGAACAAGAAACCAUAUAUCAUUCCUAGUGAAUUAAUUUAAUUCAUCAUGCAUAACAAAAAUCAAGAUUUCAUCUUUUAAAGCAUAACAACAGUUUUAGGUUAAAUUUAAGACACAAAAGCCAAUUGUUUAGAAAAUUAUUAGAGAAUCUCUAGUAGAGAAUAAUUUUUUCAAUUUGUCUGAUGAUGUUGUUCAGUGAUAGAUCUCUAGGUAUUCUCUAUUCUCUGGGUAGUCUUUCAUCAUAGUGUGUCCUUCAGUUUGAACAUUUGAAUUUAUUGAUACUAAAUUAAUUUGUUGAAAUUUUCUGAGAAUCUCUUGCUUUCAUCACUCAUGUCAUCAUUUCCAUAUAUUGGCAUAUCAUUGUUAGUUUCAUCACAUACCACAAGCAUUGAUUCCUAAACAAUCAUUAAUCUCUUAUUAUAUAUGUGAUAUACAUGACUAUUUAAAGCAUAGCCAAGAAAGAUUCCUUCAUCAACUUUUGUGUUAAACUUUCCUAAAUUCUAUUCUCCAUUAUCCAAAACAAGACAUUUACUACCAAACACUAUUUAGGGAGUGAAACUCUCCCCCAUGAUCACUUCUAAUAUAGCUAAUACAAUAAUUAUUUUCAUUUUCAAGAAUUUUGGCAAGCUUUCUAAAAAUUGAGGAUGAAUCAUUUUUUGAUGCUAUGAACAAUGUUCAAGUGUAUCUAGAAAAAUCAUCAAAAAUCACCAAUGCAUAGUAGUUUUACCCUAAACUCAUGGUUCUAGACGGUCGAAAAAAAUCCAUAUGAAGCAGUUCAAGAAGUUUUUUUCUUGAAACAAAAAUUUUUAUUUUAAAAGAAGUUUUAACUUGUUUUCCUCUUUGACAUGCUUCACAGAUUUUGUUCUUUUUAAACGUGAGAUUGGAAGUUUUGUAACUAAGUCCUUUGAAAUUAGCAUGUUCAAAUGAUGUGUAUGUAUAUGUGCUAAUAUCCUAUGCUAUAACCAUGAAUUAUCACUUUUAGAUAACAAACAUUUACGUGUUUAUAUCUAACACGUAAAUGGUUUUAAUUCUCUUUUGACCAAGCAAGACUUUAUCUGAGGCAGCCUCACAAAUAAGCACAAACAUGGUUAAAAAAAAUCUUUUGCUCUCUGUCACAUAGUUGGCUAAUGCUUAGAGUGAGUUAUGUUUCAAGCCUUCUACAUACAUCACAUUUUUUUAUGAUGAUUGAAGAAUUUUUUCCUACAUCACCUCUGCCUAGUACCCUUCCUUUAUUAUUGUCACGAUAUGUGACAAACCCUUCUUGUUUGAGUGACAAAUUUACAAACUUAAAAGCAUCUCCAAUCAUAUGUUCUUCGGUAAUAUUCUUUUUUAGUGCAAGAAGGAUAGAAAGAAACAAUAAUUUUUAUAUUGGUAAAAUCUUUAUAAAGAGUUACAUCCAGUUGCUUAACUUCACCAUCUAAACUCACACUAAACAAAACAAAAUCAUAUUACAAGAGAUGAUAAAGAAACAACUUCUUUCGCCAAGUGGAAAUGAAGGCUAGGUAGGAAUACUAAGGUAUAUAGAAAGAGGUUAUAAGGUCUAAGAACAGAUUAUGCAAACAAUUAGAUGAGGGGGUAAGAGAAAGUUAGGAAUCAAUUUGGUGGAGAGAUCUGAGGAAUUUGUGUAGUCAAAAUCAACAGGAUAGCUAGUUUAAUAGGGAACUAAGGUGGAAAUCAGGAAGAGGGAAUAAAGUAAAAUUUUGGGAGUAUGUGUGACUUAAAGAGGCUCCUCUGAAGUAUGCCCACCCUAGACUUUAUGGAAUAUUAGGGGACAAGGACAAAAUAGUUGAAGAGCUAGUGAGGUGGGAAGAUCAGUCACUAGAGAGGAAGAUAUCGUGGAGACGACACAAAUUUGCUUGGGAAGCUAUACAAGAAGUUGAAUUGAUGUAGCAACUUAGAUACAUUGGCCUAAAUAGGGAACACGAUGGUGAGUGCGAAUGGGGAAAAGAAGAAAAUCUAAAAUAUUUUGUCAAAUCUACUUAUAAGUGUCUAGAGGCAAACAACUUUGGAGAGGGAGUGAAUAGUGACAACUGGUGCAAACCUCUCAGGGAAUCAAAGGUACUGCCAACAACACAAUACGGUAUUUGGAGAGUGUUAAGAGAUAAAAUUCCCACUAAAACUAACCUUAUAUAUAAAGGGGUAGACUCACCUAAUUCUUUGUGUGAACUAUGUCAGGAGGAACAAGAAACAACAACACAUAUGUUCAUUGGAUGUAAAGUAUCACAUAGCAUUUGGGUUAUGUGUGAUAAUUGGGUAGGAGUACAGUCUCUGCAUCAUGAACAUCUAAUCCAAAACUUCCACCAAUUUCACCUCACGAACAUGUCUGAAAAACAAAAUGGUGUUUAGAAAGAAAUGUGGAUAACAAUUGUAUGGACAAUAUGGAACCAUAGGAAUAAGAUAGUUUUUAAGCAAGAUAGGGUAGAUGCUUUAGAGAUAUUUUAUAUGGAACAACUUAAUAUUUGGACAUGGCUAAAGCAAAGAAUACCUAAAGCACCAUUCUCUUACUUUGAUUUGGUCAAUCCACCCAAAAAUACAAUGUUAUAAUAUACUUUUACAAUGCACAUAUCCUUUGGUUUGUGGUAUAUUCGAUCUUUGUCUGGGUUGAGAUGGUAUAAAAUUGCAGGUGUAGUUAUGAUUAGAGCAACAAUGCAGAUGUUGAUAAAGUCAUGAGUUUUAUAAGGGGUUCCUAGGGGAGCAAAAUAAAAGGAACAAAAUAGAGCUUUGUCUGAUGUGGAUUGGAUACAACAUAGGAGGAUACAAUAAUAAUAAGCUUUUGCAGGAGACGAAAAGACGUUACUUAAUUAGGAAUGGAGAUAACUAUAAUCAAAGGUAAAGUAGACUAAAGGUGAAGGAAACAUGUAUUAGUUGUGGGACAACAUCAUCAUAAUGGAAGUCUAGCACUUAUCUAGCUGUUUUUUUUGUUUUUUCGAGUUGUGAAUGUGUAACUGGUUACUAUUUGGACUAGUUGGCCGCAAAUUGUUUUUUAAGGUUGUAAUGUAGCUAAUAUGUUAUUAUAGGAUUUAUGCUUUCUGAUCAUUACACUACUAUUUUGUUAUUUGUUGGAAUAUAAGUUUGGGUUGUAGGCUAUGUUAGUAUUAUGUUCUUUUUGUAUAAGAAUUAGAACACCCCUUAAGUACGUCACAUUAAUUAAUUUAUUUUUUGUUUAUAAAAAAUUAAAAAAUAAUACAAAUAAAUCA
rnacentral:lncRNA from 1 species